AUUGAACGCUGGCGGAAUGCUUUACACAUGCAAGUCGAACGGCAGCACGGACUUCGGUCUGGUGGCGAGUGGCGAACGGGUGAGUAAUGUAUCGGAACGUGCCCAGUCGCGGGGGAUAACGUAGUGAAAAUUACGCUAAUACCGCAUACGAUCUAUGGAUGAAAGCGGGGGAUCGCAAGACCUCGCGCGAUUGGAGCGGCCGAUAUCAGAUUAGGUAGUUGGUGGGGUAAAGGCCCACCAAGCCAACGAUCUGUAGCUGGUCUGAGAGGACGACCAGCCACACUUGAACUGAAACACGUUCCAGACUCCUACGGGAGGCAGCAGUGGGGAAUUUUGGACAAUGGGCGAAAGCCUGAUUCAGCCAUUCCGCGUGCAGGAUGAAGGCCCUCGGGUUGUAAACUGCUUUUGUACAGAACGAAAAGGUUUCUACUAAUACUAGGAGCUCAUGACGGUACUGUAAGAAUAAGCACCGGCUAACUACGUGCCAGCCGCCGCCGUAA
rnacentral:rRNA from 1 species